UUUAAAUACCAAUGAAUGACAUAUAAGUACUGUAUUAUUUAAGAUGUAAAUUUUGUAAGCAUACUAUCAUAAUAUAUUAUAUAGUUUGACUAUAUAAUUUUUAUUCAAUUGAUGUAGUACUUUUUUUUUUUUAUUACAUGAGACUAUUGCUCAAAUUACAACUCAUAUUACAUGAGAAUAUAACUGAUAUUUACAAAUCAUACUAUAACUGAGACCAACAUACAUUAAUACUAAUGGAGCAUUGCCCAGAUUUUAACCCUCUCAAAUAUUCGAUGGAUGUCUUCUCCUCACACUUGGGUAAGGAAACAGACUGCCUUCACUCAAAUUUACUUGAGGAAGGAAGACCCCCCACAAUGCAUUGUGGGGGUUCGAACUGCUGCUCUCCAAGUUGGAGAGCAGCAGCUCUCACCACUCAGCCAAAGGCCGAGUGGCUG
rnacentral:lncRNA from 1 species